rnacentral:miRNA from 1 species
AUAUAGGGAUUGAAGCCGUGC